rnacentral:rRNA from 1 species
AUGAACUCCCGGCCAGCGACCAUGGCGGAGGCCGCACCGCCUCCUCUCCUCGGCGGCCUCCCUGACGAGAUCGCCAUCUGGGAGAUCCUCGUCCGCCUGCCCCCCAAAGACCUCCUCCGCUGCCGUGCCGUCUGCCGUGCCUGGCGCUGCACCACCUCCACCCGCGACUUCCUCCUCACCCACCACGCCCGCCAGCCCUCCCUCCCUCUCUCCUACGUCAAAAAUUACGGCGGCGACCUUUUCACCCUAGACAUCAUCUCCUUCGACCACCAGGGAGGGGCCGCCACCCCCCAGACCGUCGCGCGACUUCGCCGCCAUAUCUUAAUUCCGAGGGUCUCCUGCGACGGCUUAAUCGUCUUCUGGAUAGAAUGCAAAGCUGGUCAACAACUAUUCAUCUGCAACCCGGCGACUCGUCAGUAUGGUUGCCUCCCGAUGCUUUUUGGCGGUCCCCUGUCCGCCGUGGGGAUGCCUUUUGGCGCUCCCCGACCCGUGGCCGUGGGGAUGUACUCACACAGCCCAACCGGCGAGUACCGACUACUAUUGCUGCAGAAAGCUGAAGCACCAGAUGGCUCCUCCCUCGUCUACACAUACGCUUUAGGCUCCAGCCAGCCGCCGUGGCACCUACACAUCGAAGGCCCCAAUUUGAACGAACUGGACUACGAGCACGAGGUCUGGGCUUUUAAAUACCGGGUUGAAAUACCGUAUGCGGAGCUCACCUUGCAGUUUGGAUUGUUUUACCCGCGUGAUUGUGUGGUGUUUACUUCUUGGGUUGGCGAUGUGGCAGUGCUGGUCCCGUUUGGCCGCUGGUUACUUCAGCUUGACGUGGGUGGCAAGCUGGUUGCCAGUUUCGAGGACAGCGGUGGACUCAUUGGUCAGCCAUAUCAGCUCAAGCAAACUCUUGUUCAGCAUACCUUCUUUCUUACACUAGAGGGUUAUGUUGUCAAUGGUUCGCCUUUCAUCUGA